AACGAACGCUGGCGGCAUGCCUAACACAUGCAAGUCGAACGAGACCUUCGGGUCUAGUGGCGCACGGGUGCGUAACGCGUGGGAACCUGCCCUUAGGUUCGGAAUAACUCCCCGAAAGGGGUGCUAAUACCGGAUAAUGUCUUCGGACCAAAGAUUUAUCGCCUUUGGAUGGGCCCGCGUUGGAUUAGCUAGUUGGUAGGGUAAAAGCCUACCAAGGCGACGAUCCAUAGCUGGUCUGAGAGGAUGAUCAGCCACACUGGGACUGAGACACGGCCCAGACUCCUACGGGAGGCAGCAGUGGGAAAUAUUGGACAAGGGGCGAAAGCCUGAUCCAGCAAUGCCGCGUGAGUGAUGAAGGCCUUAGGGUUGUAAAGCUCUUUUACCCGGGAUGAUAAUGACAGUACCGGGAGAAUAAGCUCCGGCUAACUCCG
rnacentral:rRNA from 1 species